CACAAAUGUUUGUGUGGACAGAUGAAGUCGGGUUGCUUCCCAGUGACAGUCAACCACAAAAUAAAUAGAUAUUCAAAAAGUGUGAACAUAUAAACGUUGGCAGGAAGUGAGCAGCACAAACAUACAGCACAUUUUUGUGUGGUCUGUGCAGCACCAGACCAAGAUCAAGUCUCUGACGGACUACAUGCAGAACAUGGAGCAGAGAAGGAGACAGCUGGAGGAGAGCUAGGACGCUCUGACCGAGGAGCUCGCUAAGCUGCAGGCUCAUGGUUUGCACAUUUAUAUUAACCGUUAAAACAUCUUUGCUCAAGUAAAAACAGGUUAACUUGAGGGAAUUUUCCUCUUUGUUUUUCAUGAGAGAAAACACAAGAUGUCAGGAGAGGACAAGGAGAAGGAGGACAUCGGCAGCCAUGAUGGGGACAUAAGGGUGAUGAGGAAACACGUCGCUGAGAAUCUCUGUUACAGAAAUGUGAAAUAGCUGAAUGUUUUUGUGUCUGUGUGGCACAGAAAACUCUGGAGGAGCAGCUGGAGAACCACAGAGAGGCUCACUACAAACAGCUGAGCAGACUGAGAGAAGAGAUAGAAGACGAGCAGAGGAUGCCGGACGAGCCCACAGAACAGCUACUCUGCCAUUAAAAAGCGCCCAAUCAGAGCUUAGCGAGCAUCUCCUCUCAGUCUGAACCAGGGUCUGCUGCUGGAGCAGGAGAGGCUGAUGUCUGACUACAACAAACUGAAGACUGAAGAGCAGGAGAAGGACGCCAAGCUGCGGAAACUCAUGUGAGUAAAGGACUUAUCUGUACGUUUAUUUAUGUGGAAUGUGAGUUCAUGUGGUUUUUGUUUGCAGGCUGCUGA